rnacentral:misc_RNA from 1 species
UCCUUUCAAAAACUUUGUACAAGUUUUCGCUUGCAGAAUCUCGAAAUUUGGAUUUGAAUCCACAUGUUGUCAACUUAUUGGCAAGUUUCUCCCCCAACUCCUGCUUCCAAUCCUCAGCCACCUUAUUUUCCGGUACAGCCCACACGACCGCCGCCUCAGUUGUGAGGUUAACACUCGCAGACGAUACCUGAGGCUGCCCUUCCAGAAUCCUCUUCACGCUUGCAGCACAUCCACCACAGACCAUCCCUCCAACAUCGAGAAUUAUGACGUCCGGUGCAGGAGUCGAUGUGUUCGCCUGUCCUGCAGCUGAUUUGACCUCGCUCCCGCCGCCGUCGCCGCCCG